rnacentral:rRNA from 1 species
GAUGAACGCUAGCUACAGGCUUAACACAUGCAAGUCGAGGGGCAGCAGGGAUUUAGCUUGCUAAAUUCGCUGGCGGCGACCGGCGCACGGGUGCGUAACGCGUAUCCAACCUUCCCGUUACUCAGGGAUAGCCUUCCGAAAGGGAGAUUAAUACCUGAUGGUGUUUCAAUUCCGCAUGUUAUUGAAACUAAAGAUUUAUCGGUAUCGGAUGGGGAUGCGUGACAUUAGAUAGUAGGCGGGGUAACGGCCCACCUAGUCUACGAUGUCUAGGGGUUCUGAGAGGAAGGUCCCCCACACUGGAACUGAGACACGGUCCAGACUCCUACGGGAGGCAGCAGUGAGGAAUAUUGGUCAAUGGGCCGGAAGGCUGAACCAGCCAAGUAGCGUGAAGGAUGAAGGUUCAUGGAUUGUAAACUUCUUUAUACGGGAAUAAAACCUCCCACGUGUGGGAGCUUGUAUGUACCGUAUGAAUAAGCAUCGGCUAACUCCGUGCCAGCAGCCGC